rnacentral:rRNA from 1 species
GAGUUUGAUCCUGGCUCAGGAUGAACGCUAGCUACAGGCUUAACACAUGCAAGUCGCGGGGCAGCAUGGAUGUCCUUUCGGGGACAUCUGAUGGCGACCGGCGUACGGGUGAGUAACGCGUAUCCAACCUGCCCUUUACAACGGGACAGCCCGUCGAAAGGCGGAUUAAUACCGUAUGUUGUCAUGUUGAUGCAUAUUUUCAUGACCAAAGGCUUCGGCCGGUAAAGGAUGGGGAUGCGUCUGAUUAGCUUGCCGGCGGGGUAACGGCCCACCGGGGCGACGAUCAGUAGGGGUUCUGAGAGGAAGGUCCCCCACAUUGGAACUGAGACACGGUCCAAACUCCUACGGGAGGCAGCAGUGAGGAAUAUUGGUCAAUGGGCGCGAGUCUGAACCAGCCAAGUAGCGUGCAGGACGACGGCCCUAUGGGUUGUAAACUGCUUUUAUACGGGGAUAAAGUAUGCCACGUGUGGUUUAUUGCAGGUACCGUAUGAAUAAGGACCGGCUAAUUCCGUGCCAGCAGCCGCGGUAAUACGGAAGGUCCGGGCGUUAUCCGGAUUUAUUGGGUUUAAAGGGAGCGUAGGCCGGGUUUUAAGCGUGCCGUG